AAUCCUACGGGAGGCAGCAGUGGGGGAUAUUGCACAAUGGGGGGAACCCUGAUGCAGCGACGCCGCGUGGGUGAAGGAGCGUUUCGGCGCGUAAAGCCCUAUCGGCAGGGAAGAAGAUGACGGUACCUGACCAAGAAGCCCCGGCUAACUACGUGCCAGCAGCCGCGGUAAUACGUAGGGGGCAAGCGUUAUCCGGAUUUACUGGGUGUAAAGGGAGCGUAGACGGUUCUGCAAGUCUGAAGUGAGAGCCCGUGGCUUAACCGCGGAACGGCUUUGGAAACUGUGGAACUGGAGUGCUGGGGAGG
rnacentral:rRNA from 1 species